UUACUUUUGAUUCCCAAGCUUUAGAAAGUGAUCGUAAAACUUUACUAACAAGUUCAAAAUUUGAGAAACAUUUGCCAAGAGCUUGUAAACCAUUGAUGACAUCCGUAAAACGGGUGUACAUGUCAACAAUGGUUUCGCUCGGCUUCAUUCGAAAAAGCUCGAAAUCAUGUAUUAAAAUGUUAACUUUCGAGUCUUUGACUCUACUAGUUCCCUCGUG
rnacentral:lncRNA from 1 species